rnacentral:rRNA from 1 species
UACGGGUACGGGGAUUAGGGUUCGAUUCCGGAGAGGGAGCCUGAGAAACGGCUACCACAUCCAAGGAAGGCAGCAGGCGCGCAAAUUACCCAAUCCCGACACGGGGAGGUAGUGACAAUAAAUAACAAUACGGGGCUCAUUUGGGUCUCGUAAUUGGAAUGAGUACAAUUUAAAUCUCUUAACGAGGAACAAUUGGAGGGCAAGUCUGGUGCCAGCAGCCGCGGUAAUUCCAGCUCCAAUAGCGUAUAUUAAAGUUGUUGCAGUUAAAAAGCUCGUAGUUGAACUUCGGGGUCUACCCAUUGGUCAGGCUUAAUUGUCUGCACUGGUGAGAUGGAUCUCUACCUUCUGAGGAACUUUCAUGCCAUUUAUUUGGUGUGGUUGGAAAUCAGGACUGUUACUUUGAAAAAAUUAGAGUGUUUAAAGCAGACUAUCGUCUGAAUACAUUAGCAUGGAAUAAUGAAAUAGGACGGACUGAUUCUAUUUCGUUGGUUUCUAGGAUCACCGUAAUGAUUAAUAGGGAUAGUUGGGGGCAUUAGUAUUCAAUUGUCAGAGGUGAAAUUCUUGGAUUUAUUGAAGACUAACUACUGCGAAAGCAUUUGCCAAGGAUGUUUUCAUUAAUCAAGAACGAAAGUUAGGGGAUCGAAGACGAUCAGAUACCGUCGUAGUCUUAACCAUAAACUAUGCCGACUAGGGAUCGGACGAAGUUAAUUUUAUAAUGACGCGUUCGGCACCUUACGGGAACCAAANUUUUGNGGGUUU